GAUGAAGAACGCAGCGAAAUGCGAUAAGUAGUGUGAAUUGCAGAACUCAGUGAAUCAUCGAAUCUUUGAACGCACAUUGCGCCCCUUGGUAUUCCAUGGGGCAUGCCUGUUCGAGCGUCAUUUGUACCUUCAAGCUUUGCUUGGUGUUGGGUGUUUGUCUCGCCUUUGCGUGUAGACUCGCCUUAAAAUAAUUGGCAGCCGGCGUAUUGAUUUCGGAGCGCAGUACAUCUCGCGCUUUGCACUCAUAACGACAGCGUCCAAAAGUACAUUUUACACUCUUGACCUCGGAUCAGGUAGGGAUACCCGCUGAACUUAAGCAUAUCAAUAAGCGGAGGA
rnacentral:misc_RNA from 1 species